GCAGCCUUGAGAGAGUCAGGUGGUGUUGAGACCAUCUGAACUGAAUAUAGGACUGAACCCCUAUAUGAACUUUUAAGAUUCUGGUGGCCGGGUGUGGCGCUCUACUCAUCUUGCCUCCGCCCAAGACAAGCCUCCACUGGAGUGAACACUGGGUUUUCUAGAGUUAUUGAAGGAUAACACGAAGGCCUUCAACCAUGUGGCAACUUUCUAAGAGAUUUUCAAAGCCUCAAGACUAAUUUAGAUGGAAAUCAGAUGGAAAGUCUGAUGCUGUGGAUUGUUUGUUGAAUUAUAAGGCAUCUCUGGGAAAGUUCUCAGGAGAUCUGAAGAGCAAGAUCGUUAAUCUGCUGGUGUCUCUUUGCUGUCUGCUGCCUGUGAGUCACCCGGGGAAGCAUCUCACCACUGUCACUUGCUGGUGCUGUGCUGAAUGUCUCAGUCCCUUCUGUUGCCCUUUCCCCAACUGUUCCACAUUUUAUCACUUGGGCUCCGCUCAGCCUGUAUAAGUCACAGUCUCAAGGAGUUCCUCCUCAACACAGCCCCCUCCAGCUCCACCUUCAACCUUCAGCUAUUCUCCAGUCUCCACCUUCUAAAUCCUACCCCUGCCCUUUACACACACACACACACACACACACACACACACACACACACACACACACAGUCCUCAUGUCCUUCAUGCAGUUCUGGCACUCAAAGGCCAAACCUCUCCAGCCAAAAACAAGAGUCUUUCCUCAUUUCAACUUAAGCAAGUGGGUUGGGAGGAGGAGGAAGAGGGCAUGCUCUGUAUAAUUGCAGUCAUUUGCUCUGGUUCCGCCAUGAAUAUCCAACCUGAUAUUCAUGAUAUUAGAGAAAGGGGAAAUCAGAGUGAAAGAGGUUAAAUAGGGAAAGGGGGGUAUAAAAUAAGAAAAUAAGAAGAGAAGAGCUCAGCCAUUGCAGUUUCUUGGAAGGGGAAAGGAAAUGAAAGGGGCACACAGCAGUGGUGAGGAGAACAGAGGCAGGGUUUCAUGUGCAGCUCUACCACUUAUGUGACUUGGGGCAAGUCACCAAAAUCCUCUGCACCUAAUUUGUCUCACCUUCAAAUCGGGAAUAAUCAUAGUAUCUGCCUCACAGGGUUAUGUUGAGGAUUGCAUUAAUA